UAAUACGGAGGGUGCGAGCGUUAUCCGGAAUUACUGGGUUUAAAGGGUGCGUAGGCGGCCAAGUAAGUCAGGAGUGAAAGUUUGCGGCUCAACCGUAAAAUUGCUUUUGAUACUGCUUAGCUAGAAUCAGGAUGAGGUUAGCGGAAUGUGGCAUGUAGCGGUGAAAUGCAUAGAUAUGCCAUAGAACACCAAUUGCGAAGGCAGCUGGCUAGACCUGUAUUGACGCUGAGGCACGAAAGCGUGGGGAGCGAACAGGAUUAGAUACCCUGGUAGUCCACGCCCUAAACGAUGCUCACUCGACGUAUGGCGCUAGACGUUGUGCGUCCAAGGGAAACCGUUAAGUGAGCCACCUGGGGAGUACGACCGCAAGGUUG
rnacentral:rRNA from 1 species